rnacentral:rRNA from 1 species
AAUGAACGCUGGCGGCGCGCCUAAUACAUGCAAGUCGAGCGAGAAGACGUAGCAAUACGUUUGUAAAGCGGCGAACGGGUGAGGAAUACAUGGGUAACCUACCCUCGAGUGGGGAAUAACUAGCCGAAAGGUUAGCUAAUACCGCGUACGCUUCUUGGACUUCGGUUCAGGGAGGAAAGCGAUGCCGAGGGUAUCGCGCUCUUGGAUGGGCUCAUGUCCUAUCAGCUUGUUGGGAGGUAACGGCUCACCAAGGCUUCGACGGGUAGCUGGUCUGAGAGGACGAUCAGCCACACUGGCACUGCGACACGGGCCAGACCCCUACGGGAGGCAGCAGUAAGGAAUAUUGCGCAAUGGGCGAAAGCCUGACGCAGCGACGCCGCGUGGGGGAGUGAAGGUCUUCGGAUU